CCUGGCUGUCACUGUCGUGGAGACCGGUGGCCUUUAUACCAUGUCACUUCCGAAGAUCUGUGAGUCAUCUGUGCAUAGUUUGUAUGCAUUAUCUCACUUCAUUCGGAUGUCACCCCAGCCCUUCAAGUCCUGCUGUUUCCAGAAUGUCAUAUAAAUGGAACACAACAUUUCCUUUGCAUAAUGCUUCUGAGAGUCAUCCGUGUCGUUGUGUGUAUCAGUGCUGCAGCCCUUUUCACGGCUGAGUAGUAUUCCUCCGAGAGGAUAUUCCAGAUCUGUUUGUCUACCCACUCGCUGAUGAACACCUGGCUGUUUCCAGUUUUUGGCUAUUGUAAAUAAAACCGCUAUGAGCA